CGGCGGGGGGCCGCUCCUGGCUUACUGAGCCCCGCCUGGGUUUACCGGCACGACCUUUCCCAGGACGGGACAGGCUGUUGCUGCCGCCGGGGCGUGUGAGAGGAUGCGACAGUGGAGUUACUGUUGAGAAGGCAGCACACGUGUUCUGUGGGAUCAGAAAUGCCGUGAUUGGGGCACAGAGCUGCAGGAUGCUAGGGAAGUAGUCACUGACCUACAGCACAGUUCACCAGGAUGAUCUUGAAGACAGAGAAGAUUGCUUUUAAAAUACUGCGUUUCAAUUUAUACCUUACGUAUGCAUACCACAGAGCAGAAACUUGUGUUUCCUCCAUCUCUCCAUGAUGUUUCUUAGCAAAUGCACAGAGUAGUGCAGUUGAACAAGGUCAAACUCAAC
rnacentral:lncRNA from 1 species